UAGCUAGUAGGUGGGGUAAUGGCUCACCUAGGCGACGAUCCCUAGCUGGUCUGAGAGGAUGACCAGCCACACUGGAACUGAGACACGGUCCAGACUCCUACGGGAGGCAGCAGUGGGGAAUAUUGCACAAUGGGCGCAAGCCUGAUGCAGCCAUGCCGCGUGUAUGAAGAAGGCCUUCGGGUUGUAAAGUACUUUCAGCGGGGAGGAAGGUGUUGUGGUUAAUAACCGCAGCAAUUGACGUACCCGCAGAAGAAG
rnacentral:rRNA from 1 species